UCUUGUUUGCAUAAAACAUUGGGAGGUGGUAUAGAGGACAGGGUCUCUCUACAUAAGUGUGGCUGUUCCAGAACCUACUGCAUAGACCAGUGUGUCCACAAGCACACAGAGAGCUUCUUGUCUCUGCUGUCUAAGUGCUGAUAUUCAAGAUGUUAUCACCGUUCUUCAUCCUCCCACCAAGAAAUCCUCUAUUCCAUCCAACCUCCUCCUCUUUCAAUGAGGAUUUACCCCCACUCACCACCCUGCCCUUGAAUUCCCCCAACUGGAGCAUCCAGCCUUCAUGGGACCAAGGACCUCCUCUCCCACCUAUGUCUGACAAGGCCAUCCUCCAUAACAUAUGCAGCUGGAACCAUGGAUCCAAAGCAAAAUUUUUACUUGAUUCUUUGUAUGAAGAGACUCUGCCAGGAGCUGACAGUUCCUGAUGCUGAAUCGCAAAGAAGAAAUGGUGAUUUGCAGGCAGCAUCCAUCUUCCUCCCACUUCUCCAAGUACCAUCCCUUCUCACCAUGGGCCCUGGUCACCAGACAGACGCAGACUACAGACCAGAGCAGCCAUAGAACAUCACAUAUAAGAAGAUCAAAUUGAGAAGAGAGUAACAUUCCAGAAGACUCAAAGUACUUCUGAAAACCGUGACACCAACAGGGUCUCAUAUAUCUAGCAGAAGAGUACAUAGGCCCCACGAUUGUCUAUAUGUCCAGGUAUUAGAAAACCACCUGUAGAUAGAGAGAGGGCAAAUCUUAUCUAGAAGAGGAGAUCAGACUCAACAAAUAUACAAUAGUUCUAUGUGUCUCAUGCAAACCAGAUCUAUAAAUCUGUUUUCAGGGCCCAGAGACUCAAGGUUGACUGAUAUCUCCAUUAAGGUGCACACCUUUUCUAUCCAGAGGAUACUGAGUUGGGAAGGAGAAUGAUUCCAGGGCCUCACAGUCCAAGAGGUAAAAAACCUAGAGCCUUUCUUUGAGGGAGGCAAGCUUCCUGUUGAAAGUCAAACAGUAUAGAACCAGCCCCUUACUUUGUUUGAAAGUUAAUGAUUGACAGAUAUAUUCUGUGCCUAGUGCUCGGUUAAUGACACUGAUAGUCACUCACCAAUAAAGUUGAUUUUCUUUAGACAGCU